rnacentral:rRNA from 1 species
UACGUAGGUGGCAAGCGUUAUCCGGAAUUAUUGGGCGUAAAGCGCGCGCAGGCGGUCCUUUAAGUCUGAUGUGAAAGCCCACGGCUCAACCGUGGAGGGUCAUUGGAAACUGGGGGACUUGAGUGCAGAAGAGGAGAGCGGAAUUCCACGUGUAUCGGUGAAAUGCGUAGAGAUGUGGAGGAACACCAGUGGCGAAGGCGGCUCUCUGGGACGGUACUGACGCUGAGACGCGAAAGCGUGGGGAGCGAACAGG